UAAUUAAGUGUGGUAGCGAGAGGGCCUUAAGUAAGAACAAGGAGGACGAUUCUGCUUGUAUACAGCAGACUUUCCGGUCACCAUUGUCGGCCAAGUGACGUAGAAUGCUUUGUCCUCUUUUAAGUGGCAGCUUCUUCAGCGUUGGACAUUCUUCUCCCAAGAUUUCGGCAUCUUGUACAAACUGAAGGCCAAGGAAGCCCACGUGAUUCGUCAUCAUUGAUAUCCGAGGAUCCUUACGUGCUCGUUCUGCACAAUAAAUUUCAAAUUCCUCCAAAUUAGGAUAUUCCACAACGUGAAGGAUAUGAACAUGUUUCAUAUUCUUCAGAGAUGAUAUAUCUACAACAUUUGAGUGAUUCUUUCCGUCCUAGAGGUGGAGAGUUCGAGUGCAGGUCAUCAAAAGCAUAAAGACAGAAAUUCGUCUGGAGCUUUACCAGCGCCAGUUCCAAAGAGACGAACAUGAAAUACCUGUUACAAAUAGCAUGGCUACUGGUCUUUCGAAUGUAUAUUCUGAUGUUCAUGAAAUCUUAAAGUAAGUCUGUUCUUUUACUAUUUCUGCAUGUGAAGAUUAAGACCUAUUGUGCUAAAUCUGAAACCAAAGAUAUCCAGAACGGGCCAUCUUGGGUUGGGCCCAAACACGACAGGGGUUUAAGUUCCUGUUGUGUUGCCACAA